CAGUAGCCGCGGGAAUACGAAGGGUGCAAGCGUUACUCGGAAUUACUGGGCGUAAAGCGUGCGUAGGUGGUGGUUUAAGUCCGUUGUGAAAGCCCUGGGCUCAACCUGGGAAUUGCAGUGGAUACUGGGUCACUAGAGUGUGGUAGAGGAUAGUGGAAUUUCCGGUGUAGCAGUGAAAUGCGUAGAGAUCGGAAGGAACAUCUGUGGCGAAGGCGACUAUCUGGGCCAACACUGACACUGAGGCACGAAAGCGUGAGGAGCAAACAGGAUUAGAUACCCGAGUAGUCCCUGUCUCUUAUAC
rnacentral:rRNA from 1 species